UGCAAGUUGCUCUCUCUCUCUCUCUUCUCUUCUCUGAAAAGGGGGAUUUCUAGGGUUUGGCUUUUGAUCCAGUAAAACCCGAUUCCAUCGCAGGAGAACUCAAUCAAGAGAAGGAAAGAAGCAGAAGAUCUUGUGGUGCCCAAGAAGUGGUAGUAUUUUUGACUUGCUUGAAGGAGGACUGAAGAGAUGAGAAGAAAUACUAUGAAGAGGAGGCCUGAAGAGUAGAAGGGGAGGAGGGGCUGAAGAAACAAGAAGAAAUUCCACGAAGAGGACUGAAGAGUAAAAGGGGAGGAAAGCCAAGAAAGGUUCAAUGGUGGGACCCACCAUUUUCACCUACCGUCAUUGAUAGGGCUUUCCUUCAAGACCUGGUGAAAGAGAAAUAGUUUUCCAGGAAGAAGGAGAGGGCAGAAGAGACAAGAAGAAAUACACCGAAGAGGAAGGACUGAAGGGUAAAGGGAAGGAAGGCCAAGAGAGGUUCAUCGGUGGGACCCACCAUUUACGCUCCCCACCGUCAGUGAUAGGUUGUAAUCAGAGACAUCUCUUCCACCUCUCCUAUUGAAUGCCCGCAGCCCUCGUUGUUUUUUGUUUUUUUGGUGACAAAAAUAACUAAUCUGCUACUGGACAAGAUCUUUUCCAUGUCGUGCUUGUAAUACAAUCCCCGGGAUUUAUCAGGAUUUUUGGGCUAUCUGCAUAGUUGAACUUACGUGGGUUUGGCAAUAUAAAGUUGUUUUGAUCAAAUAGCCAAAGCAAUUUGGGUAUUUGGGCAGAAAUGAAAAUGAUUCCUCUCUCAAACACGGUAUUACUUCAUGGGUAUCCGGGGCGUCGUCAUUUCGAAUCCGCCCUCAAAUGGCAUUUUAACGAGUAUUGGGGGCGGAAUCAAAAUGAUUCCACUAAAAAAUGCAUUUUACCCAAAUGGGUGGAAGUGCUGUUGAAAUUGACUAGGCACAUCUGCAUUCUUGCGAAAAUCAUUUCCGAAGGCAGUGGAAUUUGGAUGAACAAGCGGAGGAACUUCUGAAAAAUCUAGAGCCGUAGGGGGUUAGGAAAUAUAUUAAAAGAGAAGGGCAUUUAUGUCAAUUCAUAGUUUUAAUGAAACGUGUCGUUUUGUAACUCGGAUUUUAGAAUAAUUCAAUUGUAUUUAAUAUAUAUAUAUAGAUAUAUUUCAAUUUUCUUCUUAAUUUUCGUCUCUCUUCUUCUCGCACAAAACAGACUCUGAGAAUGUCCAUUUCUUGGAUGGGUUUCAAGGGUAGAAUCUUUGAAGAAAACUGGCUGUUUGGUCUUUAUUAACCUUUUCCUGUUACGGGUUUUGUGGGAAAUUCCAAAAAAAAAUUCAAUAUUUCACGUUCUUUCUUUUGAUUUUUCUGAGAUGGGUUUGUGAAUAGAGUUCAACCCAUGGUCUGUUGUUCUCUCUGGCUGCAUUUUGGUAGUGGAGUCACUGUUAGAGCAGAAAGCAGCUUUCUCUCGCCCUUCUCCUAGAUGAGUUUUGGAGGAUUUUCAAAUCCAACUGUUCAGUUCUCUGAUUGCAAUAUUUUGUCAGUUCUUCAAAACCAUAGCUGCAAAAAAAA